rnacentral:miRNA from 1 species
UGAGAUAAUCUCUCUCUCUCUCUCUCUCUCUCUCUAUCUAUCUAGAUAGAGAGAGAGAGAGAGAGAGAUUAUCUCG